CCUACGGGAGGCAGCAGUGGGGAAUAUUGGGCAAUGGGCGCAAGCCUGACCCAGCAACGCCGCGUGAAGGAAGAAGGCUUUCGGGGUGUUAAAUUCGUUUAAGAGGGGAGAGCAGAAGACGGUACCUCUUGAAUAAGCCACGGCUAACUACGUGCCAGCAGCCGCGGUCGUACGUAGGUUGCAAGCGUUGUCCGGAUUUACUGGGUGUAAAGGGCGUGUAGCCGGGCUGACAAGUCAGAUGUGAAAUGCCGGGGCUCAACCCCGGACCUGCAUUUGAAACUGGUGGUCUUGAGUAUCGGAGAGGCAGGCGGAAUUCCUAGUGUAGCGGUGAAAUGCGUAGAUAUGAGGAGGAACACCAGUGGCGAAGGCGGCCUGCUGGACGACAACUGACGGUGAGGCGCGAAAGCGUGGGGAGCGAACAGGAUUAGAUACCCCAGUAGUC
rnacentral:rRNA from 1 species